UAUUGCUACUAAAAUAUGGAAAGUUGACGAUGGAGAAGAUUAAAUCACCCCGUUUGUCAUAAAGUUGAGUUGUUAGUUUCCCGUUAUUAUCUAUCUUAGAUUAUGCAUUAUAUUCUAUCUAUCUCUACCACUAACUGGUUUAAUUUUGAUAACAAAUGACAUAACGACAGGAUGCUAUGAUGGGUACUACAGAAAUGAGACAAGUGGGACAUGCAGCCAAUGCACCCCAGGAUACAUAGGCCCAAAUUGUUCAGUACCCUGUGUAGAUGGAUUCUACGGAAAACUUUGUCUACAUAAGUGUCCUUCUUUCUACUCAAACUGUAACAUUAUCGAUGGAAGUUGCCCCAAAGAAUGUCCCCUAGGAUACACAGGACAAAAUUGUUCCGUACCCUGUGUAAAUGGAUUCUACGAAAAGAAUUGUCAAUAUAACUGUUCUUCCAUCUGUUCAAACUGUAACAGUAUCGAUGGAAGUUGUCCAAAAGGGCAUUUCAAUUUAUACUAUUUAUUGUGCAAUUAACUGUGCAAGUUAAUGGACUGAGAAGGAGGAAAUAUAAACAUGAACUUUUAACAAGGAUUUCCGGACUGACAUGGAUGAAAUAUAAACACGAACUUUUAACAAGAAUUGACGGACUGAUAUGGAUGAAAUAUAAACACGAACUUUUAACAGGGAUUUACGGACUGACAUGGAUGAAAUAUAAACACGAACUUUUAACAAGGAUUUACGGACUGUCAUGUUGUUGGCCAUGUAAGAAAGCGUUCUGACCGACUGUCCGACUGACAAUUGCAUCAGUAACUUCUUCCACAGCCUUAAGGACUGCUCUUCUCAAUAAUAUAAAUCUACCUACUGUGUCCCCAAUUACUUGUAAGAAACUACCGCUGUCAUAUAACCUAAGCGUAAUAAAAAUGUGUUGAACUACAGCCAGGGCAUGGCUCCGCUUGGUUAACCUCUCUAAGUCGAAUUUAAACAUAUUUGUUAAGAAUUCGACCCCUCUUCUACUGAAAUGGUAGCGCUUUCUUAUUUCUUCGUUUAACCAAUUAUGUAGUGGGUCAGCUGAUGCUCUGCUUUGUCUGAGGUGGACGCAAAGAUGAUCAAACGGCCAUAUUUAAUCAGGAAUAGGUCACUUUUGAAAACUGAGGCAAUUGUAACGAUCUCAAGAUAUGAAUUGCUUGUGGCAAUACUUCAAUACUGUACUUCUAUGGUAGUUAAAACAAUCUAGUUUGCUAUUCUCUGUUUCAUAUUGUUUAUAGAAGUUAUGAGAUUGAUCACUGUUAGUUAGCUUCACCUUUCACACUUUCUAACUGAUGGAUCCGUUGUGUAAAUGGUUAUUUUUAUUGUCUGUUUGACGUGUUCCAUGCCAAUCUUUGAAUCGUUGUUUAGAUACUUAUUUACAUAGUUAUUUAUAUUUACAUAACUUCAUAAUUAUUUCGGAUUUCAAAGAUUUCGGUUGAGCAUCACUGAAGAGACAUUAUUUGUCGAAAUGCGCAUCUGGUGCAUCAAAAUUGGUACUGUAUAAGUUUUACAUUACAUACACAUGAAUCCCGUUACUGCAUCGUCAUAAAGCUAUCGCAGUGAAUGUGACCGGUCAACAGGGAAUGGUUGCUCAUACAACGUUCGACUUAAUGUAAGGUUGUAUUUCCUGAGACUAUUAUAACGACCAUAGAAUUUACGAAUGCUGCCUUAAAAAAAGACUGUUAAAACCCUUGUGGCACCAACUGAUUUAUCAUUAGACUGCCACAAGUUUUAAAUUGACGAUACACAGAAUAUCCUCUCAGGAAUCAGUUGAGAGCACGAGAAGCUGAAGUCACCCCCUUUGUCAUAAAGGUGGGUUGUGAAUUUCCUGUUAUGUUCAAUAAACCAUCCAAGUAAGAAGCAGACAUAGAAAGUUCUAAGAUGCCUAUGAUUUCGAGUUCACAUGGAUUUAUCUAAAUGUCGCCUUUCAGGCCACAACAAAAUAUUUUGUCCUCUCAUGCUUUUUAAUAAAUUAUGCCUCGUAGAAGUAUAAAAUCAGACCAACUAUUUAAUAAGUACAAUUCGUUUCCAUGGGAUUUCCAAAAGAUUGUUGAAAGACCCGAUCACCUACAAAUACGUAUAUAUUGUAAAUGAGAAACCCCGGCAUCGUUUUAGUAUUAAGUUCAGAUCACUUUUUGUGGAAUCAGAGUGAUGUUUAACAUUUUUGAUGACUGAUCAGGAAACAUGAAUGUAAGACGAAGAUAACGAACAGUGAGUGAUCUCAUAGCUUCUUUAAGGAAUACAAAAUAAAGACUUCUACAUAUUCCAUUUUUGUUGAUGAGCAGUUGUCUAUAAUACCAAAACCCUAGUGAGUAAGGACAAGGGACGUUAUUGGCUAUAUACCGCCGAUAUUUUUUUCAUUUUUUCAACUUUCAUACUAUGCUUAAUUAUUCUUUUUAUUUACAAACUAGGAUGUUCUUCUAAUCCCACUUACAUGAAAAUGACGUAAUAUUUUAUUAUGACGUCAUGAAUAUACGCUAAAGAUGAGCUGUUUAGCGGAAUCUGUUGAUUUGAAAUAAAUUAUGAAUAAACUUUAGCAAAAACAAAUACUUUUGCAUGCAACAACCAGAUUUAUAUUUUGCAUGUUUAAUUAUCCAUUGAUAUUCUUCUUUCAUUAUCAAUAUGGUGUCGGUUGUUGGCUGCAAACAAUAUGAAUUUUGAAAAAGAAUGAAUGCGGAAAUCGGCCGUUUUCGCUACGCAAAGUCACUAUUUUGCGUGUUAUAGAACUGAUGCAAACUGUUCCAUCAUUUAACCUCAUAAACUUUUACUUACUUUGCGAUUUAAUGAAUACAUGUAUGUCCAAGUCAAACAAUUAAUGCUUUCCCUAGUUUGCCAUAAAAAUCUGCACCUAAUAAAUGCAGAUGAU